rnacentral:rRNA from 1 species
AACCAUAAGGCUAGAUCGUGACAGGUAAGCGAAAUCUUAGGAAAGUAGCGAAGCACAUGAUGACGGCUUCCAGGAAAAGCUUCUGGCAAUGCAUAUGCGGCCCGUACCAAAACCGACACAGGUGGGCAGGGAGAGAAUCCCGAGGUGAGCGAGAGAACUGUUGCCAAGGAACUCGGCAAAAUGACUCCGUAAGCUAGCGGGAAGGAGUGCUUAAGCAAUUAAGCCGCAGUGAAGAGGCCCAAGCGACUGUUUAACUAAAACACAGCUCUCUGCGAAGUCGCAAGACGAAGUAUAGGGGGUGACACCUGCCCGGUGCUGGAAGGUUAAGAGGAUCUGUUAAGAGCGAUCUGAAGCAGUGAUCCGAAGCCCCAGUGAACGGCGGCCGUAACGAUAACGGUCCUAAGGUAGCGAAAUUCCUUGUCAGGUAAGAUCUGACCCGCACGAAAGGUGUAACGAUUUGGGCGCUGUCUCGGCAGCAGACUCGGUGAAAUCUUAGUACCUGUGAAGAUGCAGGUUACCCGCAACUAGACGGAAAGACCCCAUGGAGCUUUACUGCAGCCUGAUAUUGAAUUCUGGUCAUACAUGUACAGGAUAGGUGGGAGACAAAGAGACGUGCACGCCAGUGUACGAGGAGUCGACGUUGGGAUACCACUCUUGUGUGACUGGGGUUCUAACCUGGUAUCGAGAACAGGUACGGGGAGAGUGUCAGGUGGGCAGUUUGACUGGGGCGGUCGCCUCCCAAAGAGUAACGGAGGCGCCCAAAGGUACGCUCAGAUUGGAUGGAAACCAAUCGUCGAGUGCAAUUGCAGAAGCGUGCUUGACUGUGAGACAGACAAGUCGAACAGGGACGAAAGUCGGGAAUAGUGAUCCGGCGGUGCCGAAUGGAAGGGCCGUCGCUCAACGGAUAAAAGCUACCCUGGGGAUAACAGGCUGAUCUCGCCCAAGAGUUCACAUCGACGGCGAGGUUUGGCACCUCGAUGUCGGCUCAUCGCAUCCUGGAGCUGGAUUCGGUUCCAAGGGUUGGGCUGUCCGCCCAUUAAAGCGGUACGCGAGCUGGGUUCAGAACGUCGUGAGACAGUUCGGUCCCUAUCUGUUGUGGGCGAAGGAGAUCUGCGGAGAGCUGUCCUCAGUACGAGAGGACCGGGAUGGACCUACCGCUGGUGCACCGGUUGUUCCGCCAGGGGCAUAGCCGGGUAGCUAAGUAGGGAAAGGAUAAGCGCUGAAAGCAUCUAAGCACGAAGCCUACUCCAAGAUGAGAUCUCCCAUUCGCAAGAAGUAAGACCCCUUAAAGACGAUAAGGUAGAUAGGCCAGGGAUGGAAGUGCAGUGAUGUACGGAGUUGACUGGUACUAAUCGGUCGAGGACUUAAU